rnacentral:misc_RNA from 1 species
GAUGAAGAACGCAGCGAAAUGCGAUACUUGGUGUGAAUUGCAGAAUCCCGUGAACCAUCGAGUCUUUGAACGCAAGUUGCGCCUCAAGCCAUUAGGUUGAGGGCACGUCUGCCUGGGCGUCACAUAUCGUUGCCUGAUGCCAGUUUCCUCGUGAUGGGUGACUGUGCAGGGCGAAUGAUGGCUUCCCGUGAGCAUUGUUGCCUCAUGGUUGGUUGAAAAUUGAGGCCUUGGUAGGGAGCGCCGUGAUAGAUGGUGGUUGAGUGACGAACGAGACCCAAUCAUGUGAGACCCCUACCGAAUUUGGCCUUCAUGACCCACAUGCGUCUUUGGAACGCUCAUGACGAGACCUCAGGUCAGGCGGGGCUACCCGCUGAGUUUAAGCAUAUCAAUAAGCGGAGGA